CAGCUGUGUGCCCUGCUCCCCCGGGGCUUUCUGUGCCAGCGUGGGGCUGAGCUCUCCCACAGGACCUUGCUCCGAGGGAUUUUACUGCCCAGCAAACUUCAGCUCCAUCAGCCCCACGGCGUUCCUGUGCCCCAAGGGUCACUUCUGUGGGUCAGGGACAGCCCUCCCGAGGCCGUGCCCUGCCGGGCAGUACCAGCCAGCCACAGGCUCUGCCUCCUGCAUCCCGUGCCAGAGAGGAUUCUACUGCCAGGAGCUGGUGGCAGGGGACCCCAGGCGCUGCCCACCUCAUUCCUACUGUCCCCCAGGGACACGAGUUCCUCUCACCUGUCCUGAGGGCACCUUCACUCCUGAAAAUGUGACUGGCCUCUGGAAUGAGAAGGAAUGCCUGCCUUGCCUCCCUGGCCACUACUGCAGGCACGGCAAGCUGGAAGGGAAAUGUGCUGCAGGAUAUUUCUGCCUGGCUGGGAGCUCUCAGGCUGCUCCCCAAGGCCUCCCCUUCUCCUGGCGCUUCCUGGCCGGGUGCCGCUGGGGCCAGCUGUGUGCAGGGCUGUGUCCUGCAGGUCACUACUGUCUGGAGGGCUCUGAGGUGCCCACCCCGUGUCCUGCCAACACUCUGAGGGCUCUCCCCGGGGCUGGCAGGAGGGAGGAUUGCCUGCCCUGCCCUCCAGGCCGAUGGUGCAAAGCAGGUUUGGUGAUGGCUGCUGCUUUUUGGGACACUUCUGUGCAUCCCUGAUUUCCCAGUCCCAUUUUCCUCCAUUCUGCUGCCUCAGGUUUUAGCUUUUCUAUAUUUCAGAUUCUGUGCUGCUUUAGUGUGUGGGUCUGGGUUCACAUCAGGGGAUGGUGAGCUCUGUGCACAGAGCAGGGAGACAAAACAAUUCCUGCUCCAGCUGGGCACCAAGGACAAAUGAUCCAAAUCUCAGCCCAGGAGCACAAACCCCGUGGGCUGGAGAGAGAAAAACAAGCAGGAUGGGACUGCAGGGGCUGCAGCUGGGAUUGGACACUGAACUGCAAUGUGCACAUGGAGCAGAGCUGAGCCCAGGGAGAGACCCCGGCAGCGCUCGUGCAUUUUGGGACCAUUUGGGUUCAUCUUGGGUUCAUUUUGGGACCAUUUGGGUUCAUCUUGGGUGCAGCCCUGGCUAGGCUCUUGUGCUGCCCAAGGUGCAUCCAUGGAAGCCUUUUGGUUAAUACCUGCUUUAUUCUUUAACUCUCUCUAGCCACUGUUCUAGCUCAGCCUUCACAAGUCAUCAAUUCCUGCCUCUUUUUUCCUCAUUUUUCCCAGUUUUCACCCAUCCCAUCCCCUUUUUCUCCCAUUUUUUCCAAUCCCAUCCCAUCUUCCACCCAUUUUCCCCCAAUCCCAGAGCAUGGCUUUGAUGUCUGGUGUGAAAUUGUGAGAGAAAAGAGGCAGUGACCUGUUGAUCCAGUGACAUCCCUGGGUGCCACCUGGCAGAGAAAGGGCUGGGAGGACACAGAGCAGCAUUCCAGUGGCAGUGGGGACACUCCUUAAAUCCUCUUUUUCUGUUUUUUAGGGGAUUCCGAGGCCCAUCCAUGCCCUUUGGGCCACUACUGCUUCGGGAGCAAUGGCAGUGCCCAGAGCAGUGUCCUGGCCCCUCAGGAGUGCCCUGCACACACCUUCCGUGGGCACCCGGGAGCACGGAGCCUGGCAGAGUGCCAGCCCUGCCCACCAGGGUACCACUGUCCCCUGCCAGGCCUGAGCAGCUUUGAGGAUUACCCCUGUCCCCCUGGGUACUGGUGCCCUGGCAAAGGGGACACUUUCCUGUGCCCAGCUGGCACUUCCAGGACCCAGCCUGGUGCCAAAUCCUUGGAAGAGUGCGAUCCCUGCUCUCCUGGAUAUCACUGCCCGGACCCAGCCCAGACAGGGCUCCCCAACACCCAGGGAAUACCUUGCAAACCUGGCUUUGAGUGCCCAGCAGGGUCAAUAAAUCCCAAGCCCUGCAGGCCUGGCUCUUACUGUGCUGCUGUGACAGGAGAGCCUCCCCUGUGUCCUGCUGGCUACCACUGUCCUGAGGGGUCCUGGACCUACACCAGCCCCGAGCAGCUGUGUGUGUUCCCAUACUACUGCCCCCCGGGCAGUGCCCACCCGGUGCCCUGUGAAGGAGGGCACAUGGCCCUCAGCCUGCCUGGCCUGAGGGGCUCAGCUGAGAGAUUCUGCAGAGUUUGUGCUGCAGGGACCUUCCGCAGCGACCCCCUGAUCUCAGAGCCCUGCCAGCCCUGCCCAGCUGGCUUCACCUGCCCACCAGGUAAAUUCAGCUGCCACGAGGGAGUGGGGCAAGAAUUAGCAGCUGAAAUUGGGAGCAGGGAGUUUUGAGUGCUGUGUGGGCAAAGCUCUCAAUCCUCUGCAGUUAUAAAAGCCUGGUGUGGGCUGUCACGUGGGUUUGCCACUGGAUUUAGGCAGUGGAAGAGCUGGGGGAAGGAAAAACUGAGAUUUAUAUUUAAAUAUGAAUUAGACUGCAAAAAAGCUGCUCUGCACACGUGUGUAUUUCUAUAGACUCGUGUCUAAAUAUAGAGAGAUGUGUGUAGAUGGAUCACUGGGACAAGCAAGUGCUCUCUGCCUCUCUCCCAGCACCUGCUGGGGUCCCUAAUGCCACCCCUUUCUCCAGGCAGUGACAGCUACCACCAGCAGCCUUGUCCCCGUGGCCACUACUGCCCUGCCCUGUCCCCUGCCCCGCUGCCCUGUCCCCCGGGCACCCACGGGAGCAGCCGCUUUGCCAAGCACCCAGGGGACUGCCAGGCCUGUCCUGCUGGCACCUUCAAUCACCUCCCUGCCCAGGCUGCCUGCUUCCCCUGUGGCAGCUCCUCUUCCUCUCAGCCAGGUGAGGUUUUUUGUGGAAUUCUCCCCUCUGGUGUUUCCUGAUGUUCACAAGCCCUGGCAUCCUCCUGGAGCUGGGGGUGCUGCCCAUGCCCAGCUGCUCUUCCCUGUCCCACCCAGGAGCAGGAUUCCAAAUCCAAAGCUGUCUUUUUCUCACUCUUACACCCUUACCCAAUGGGUUUUGAUCUCCUUAAAGGAAAGGAGGGCUGAGCAGCUCUAAUUCUUGCUCUGCCAUUGCUUUGAAAACAGUGGAGUUUCACCAAGAUCACUUUAGCCAGGAUUUGGGGGGGUUGUGUUAAAUCUAGGGGUGCUUUUGAACCAAAAUUGGGCAUUGAGGGCAUGAUAAAGUGGGAUAAGGCUGGAUGGAAACUGGAGCAGUAAGGAGUGCUUAUUCCUCACUUCGUGCAUGUGCAGCACUGCCCCAGUGUUUCAAAUCAGGUGCCACCAGCUGUACCUGCCAUGGGCUGAACAGGGCUUUCCAGCAGUCAGAUGCCUCCUGCAUCUGCCAGGCAGGUUAUGUUUAUUAUGAUGAGAGAGGCAAGAAAGACUCUGACAGCAACAGCGACCAGGAUUGCCGACCUCAGGUAAAAUUGGGCUCCAAAAACCAAAAUUGUUGUGUGAUGUGCAGGAGAGGGGGAGUGUUCAGGCCUUGAGCUAAGCCAAACAAAUCUUUUAAAUGUUUUAUUGGCCCUUUGUUGUAGGAGGUUUUCUUUACCAGGAUCUUGUGAGGUUAAAUUUAAACUCACAAGGGAUGGAAGGAAAGGAUUCUUCCAUGCCAGGGCAGUGUCUCACAUGGAUGACAGAUGCAGGAAUUUAAACCUCCUUUAAUAUGAAGUUCUUCUUUAGAGCUGCCAUAGGCAGAGAGACACUAAACCCAAUUCUUGUUUGUAUCUUGCAUAAUGCCACUUUUUUCCUCUUUUUGAAUGAACUUCUAUAGUCCAAACCCGCUCCUGGCAUGGGUUCCACAGCAAUCUAGAAUGUCAAAAUUAUACCCUGGUUCUUUCAAAUAUUUUCUUACAGCUGAAGAAAACUAGAACCUCAUGAGGGUUUGGGAGGUGAAAUUGUUGGAAUCUGAAACGCAGGGAAUUCCCAGAACUUUGGGCCUGUAAGCCAAAGCUUAGAAUUAAACCCAGGAUUUGAUCUAAGGCUUUGGAAAAGGCUUCCAAACUUAGGUGCUGGAAGAAAGAAUGUGGAUUUAUAGUUUAAAGCAGAGUCACGUGAAGUUAAGAAAAAGAAAGUUUAAAGUUUUGGAGUUUAGGAUAUAGAAAAAAUAAAAGUAAUUACAAAGGUAAACAAUGAGUUGAGAAUGCAGCACUGUAGGUUUGUGUGUCAUAACAUGAUUGGCUAAGAAAGCUUACACUCUAACAUGGGUCCAUUAGACAAAAUAUUUAAGGAUUGGGUCAAAAACAUAAAUAUCCUUGUUAGCAGUGUUUUAUUGCUCAAUAAAUCCUUAAAAGGCCUUGUAACUAAGGGUCUUGUGACCUUUUGAACCAUGCAGUGAAGAUGUGAGCCAAACUCACCCUUCCUGCCUAUGCAGAUGAUAACAAAAUAAACCACAUCAUCUAAAAACUCAGAGAUUCCAGCUCUAACUCAUUCAAAACUCCUUCAAAAAUCCCCAUAGUGUGCUUUCUGAAUGCUUUCCUGGUUGGAUUCCCUUU